rnacentral:lncRNA from 1 species
AUGGAUCAUCUUUAAAUCCUUGAUUAUGUAUUUGAAUCAGAAAACAACAUAAAAACAGAGAGAUUUGGGGUUUGAAGUGAUUACCAGAAGACGAGGAGGGACUUUCAUGGAGCAAACAACACGCCCAGGUUCAAUGAGAUCAAUAUGAAGGCCUUGCAUUAUAAAUCUUUCAAAGAAUCUGAGAGGCAUUUUUUCAAUGGUUGAUUCAUUCUUGUCUUCUUCAUAUCCUCCUGUCUCUAAGUAUCUCUUCACUGAUUCCAAAUCCAUUUUUCUUUCUUCCCUUUCCGACUCGUCUCAGACAAAGGAAUGUUUGUUGAAAGAGUGAUGGGCAAAGACGCAAAGUAAUUCUAAAUUUUAAUUCUCUCAUAAAAAAAAGAGUUCGACUCUUUCUGUAAAACAAUCAAUUUUAAUACCUUUUAUUGUCAAUUAAACUGUUAGCACCAAUACUUAUCUUCCCAAUCCUACAUAAAUACUAAAGAAACAUAAUUAAUUGCUUCACUUUUUUCUAUUUGAUCAUGAAUUAAUUUUUUAUUUAUUUUUUCCUUAUAAAAGAAAGAGACGGAAUAUAUGGGGGAAUAAACGAAAUCUAUAGGGGUAUUAUCUUAUCUUUUAUUUAAACCUUGAACGAUCACAAUCAAGUUAUUAUAAUCACAAGUGAACUUAUAAAAUCUCAUAAAAUCUUAUAAUUUUAUAAGUUAAUAUAUAUUUAAUAUGCUAAAUCAGACUAAAAACUUGAAACUAGUAAAAUCAAACUCAACUCAUGCAAAAUCGAUAAAAUCGGUAAACUCAGUCCUAUUUUUUGAGUUUAUUAAAUUUAUGAUAUGAACCAAGUCAUGUCCAAAUUUGACUUUAAAAUGUCUGCUGACUAGUUUUACGAGAUUAAACAUAUCUUUUAAACUGUAUAUUGGAUAAAGCUGAAAUUUUAUAGAAAAAUAUUAGAUACAUGAAAAUAUAUUAUUAUAAAUUUUUAGGUCAAAUGGAGUUAGGAAAUAUAAUAUUUCAGAGAGUCAAAGUUAGUAAACUAACAUUGUGAAAUAUGUCAAACAAGACAUUUGUGUAAUGUUUGGGACAUAUCUACAGCUACCAUUGGAAUUUUGCAUCGAUUAAAGUUGGGAUAGAAACUAGACAUCUGAAACUUUUCAACUAUAUACCGUAGGGUCAAUAAUUCAUCUAAACAAGAGAAAAUGACAUGUUUAAAAUUAGAACUUAAAUCUGUCAAGAAUAUAUAAAGAUUAGAGAUUCAGGCAAAAUAGAGGAAUUUUAACAUGGAGAAUUUUUUUAUUAUUCUAUUUUAUUUAUUUAGUUAAUUUUAAAUAAUUAUUUUUAAUUUAAUUUUUUCUAGUACAUUAGAUAUUGUUUAGGGGUUUAUUUCAUUAUUGAAUUUAUGUUAAUUAAUUACUAAUUUAAACUCAUUAGCUUGCAACCUAAAAGGAGUCUAUAAAGACUUAUUAUGAUGGGAAUAACCAGGUUGUCACUAGAUUUAUGUGUACUUUCUAUCUCUCAAUGAUUCCCUGGUAUUGAGAAAUUUUGUCUUGAGACUUUUUAUUUCUCGAUGUCAUUACUUUAUUAAUUCAUACUAUAUAUCUCUUUCAUUUUAUUUAUAUCACUCAUUGAUUAUAAUAUUGUUGAUUAAUUUUAUCAAAUUUUAAUGUAAAUUAAUUUUCUGGCUAGAAUUAUCAAUAUAUGAUUAGUUAAAAACGCUUACUUAUGAUUUUAUGAUUUUACGAUUUGAGUUUACAAUUCGAGAUUAUAUUAUAUUUUUCGUCUCGUGUCAAAAAAAUAAUUUUAAUAACCUUGAUCAUAAUUCAAUAACAACAGCUUUAAAAUAUUGAUCUAGUGGUUAAAGUAGUUUGUUCCUUUUUAGGAUAUAAAUUAUUAUUUUUUAAUUAAAUUCUUUUAAAUGUAUCAUGCUAAUAUGAGAUAUAUGACGGGCAAGGUAAAAGGAAAAAACUUAUAUUCAUGAAUAAAGUUGAGUUUUCUAGGCCUAAACAUUUUUAAAAAAUCAUUCUAAUAUGAAUAUUCCUUUUUAACUUGGGUUUUUCCCUUUUUUUUUUUUUGUAUUUUUAGGAUUCCAAAAUUAUAUUGUUUGGCAUAAAUGUUUUUUUAAUUAAUGGAAAAUACCAAAUACAUGGUAAUGGAAAAGUAAAAAUUAUAUUAUUGAUGACCCAAUUAACAAUAAAUAAAUAGACUCAACUAGGUGAGUUUGUUCAUGGUGAUUUUUUUUAUUGUAAUUAAUUUUAUAUAAUGUAAGCAAAUUUCAAUUAAUUUGUUUUUAUUUCUUUCCUGUUAAUCAUAUACCUUUUCUUUUAUCAAGUUAGUAAUUUAUUUUUUCUUUUUAAAAUCUUUGUGUAGCCAUAUGUGCUUUUAACAUAGUUUGUUAACUAUUCUCGAGGCUCAAGGGAAAAGACACACUAAGUGGAAUAAAAUUCCGUUUUCUCUUUCAUAAAAACAACUCAGACUCAUUCCAGUCAUGAUCCCACUUCUCAAUAUCUGAAUCUGCCUUUUUUUUUUUUGCCGUAAAAUGAACCUGAACAAGUCUUUUCUCAGAUUUACAUGUUAAAUUGAGGCAGUUUGCGAAGAUAAUUUCUAUUAAAUUUUGGCACCCUUCCAGUAAGAUAAAUGAUAAAUGCCUCUAAAGCUGGAGGAAAUUCUGAGACUAGUAGCCGAUUUACGCAUUUGGUAACUUCCAAAGUCUUAAGCUUAGGAAGGCUGUCAAUUCCAGGAGGUAGAUUGAUAAAUCCAAUCUAUCGAGAGAUGACAAGCUGCCAAGAUGUAUGGAAACUGUAAGUUCAGACAAUAUGCAGCAACAAAGAUCUUAUCCGGCAUUCUAAGCAUCACUGUAAUGAUCGUCGCAACAUAUAAUUGCAAAUAUUUAUCAGUUACAUUAUUGGUUCCAGUGAAGAAAUACGAAGAAGCUAAGAAUUUGCAGGUCAUUUACAUUUUACUAGAGACAGCUAGGUACUUAGUAUGACGCCCUUGAGCAAUAAUUUUCCCAGUCUUUCUCUUCUUCAACUCGACACUGACAACUCCAACAGCUUUACCCACACGAAGAACCCUAGCUUCAAUCUCGAUUUCUUCCUGGAAGAACAGAAAUAGAAAACUUCAAAUGAAUAAUAAGUCACAAUUCGUUGUGCUCAAGUUAUUUUACAAGUACAGAGGCACAUCAUGACAUGCAUACACUAAUCCAUUGACUACACAGCUGCUAUGAUGAGUGAAAUUAACACCCAGAAUCAACGUUGAUACUGAGAUUUAUUUUACUCCCUCUUACCGUGCUAAGAAUUUAAGAUUUCCCUACUCAUUUUGUUCUCUUGCUUGUCCUACAUACCAGAACUUCUUGUUCAUCAACGAACAGUGCAAACCCAGUAUCUAUCCCAUCUAAUAAACAAAGCAUUGCUCAAAAGAGGGUAGCCCCAUUCCAACUUUAACUUGGUAUACUCUUUAGUGAGUCGAUCGCACAAAGGCUAAAAUAGAGAGAAGUUCAGCAGGGAAAAUUUUAUGGUGAUCGGGAAAUACCUAGUAGUAUCCUAUUAGUUACUCCUUAGACUCAUCUUGAAAAAAAAAAAAUAGAUACAAUGAGAUAAGAGAAGAUGAAACCUAUAAUCCACCAAAAAUUAUAAGAAUAUCUUCAUCUAGAAUUUCUUUCUUAAUUAUAUCUUAUUUUUUCUUUAAAAAGAUCAGGGAGUAACUUGUAUGAUGCUACUAUUUACUCUCUAUACUAGUUACUCCCUGAGCACUAUAAAAUUUCUCGUUCAACAAAGUCUACAAGUGAGACAACUAACCUGCAAAGCAUUUAUUAAAGGAAAGGACCAAUAAGAGAAAAGAAACUAAAUCUACAAAAUACAAAUAUUAUCCGCAUCUCAUCUACACAAAUUAAGUGUCCACUAUUUAGCUUGAUACAUGCCAUUUUGAUUCUUUGCAAGUGCGAGCAAUCCAGUAUUUUAUAGACUCCAGAACUAUAGCCAACCUAUUCUACUAAGGAGAUCUUAAGAGCCUGGCGAGUGAUUUUUAGGAUUUUCAGCUAGAAACAUACUAAACAAUUUGGGCUUACCAAUCUUGAUUUUUAGGAUUUUCACCAAUAAAGGAUUAUUUAAUGAUUAUCUUUAUCUAGAAAGGAAACUAAUAAGACAGCAACAAAGAACGAUAUUUUGUAUUUAUUAUCGUCCAAGUAUUACAAGGAAACCUAGCUCUACAAGAAAAAAGCAAGAGGCGACAGAAUUAAUUCUAUAUAUUGAGAUUAGAUUUUCAUAAUCUAUUUGAGACAUCUAGAGGCAGCAACCCUUCCUAGAGAUACAAGUAAGGUUUAUUUCGACUAUAACACCUUUUAAGCUAGGAAAAUCAGACCUUUUAUUUUUAUUUCUCUUUGGUUAUUUGCAGCAGCAUAGAGAAUUCUUUCUUUCUUGGUUCUCUAAACAACUGAAAUUGACUUACUGAAGAACAACUGUCUUCGUGAUGUCUUUCUUAUACUUCUCGUUAGCGAAUUAUUAUUUGUAGGGUGGGGAUUCUUAUUCCAAUAAUUCUAGUAUCUGGAGACAUGUUUUUAUUGUUUCACACUUCUAUCAAACAUGUUUCACCUUUUCAGGAUUUGUUUUCAAUCUUGUUGUGAGUUACAUGACCAUAUGAUCACGAGGUUCACAUCAUCAUUUCCAGCAAUUGAUAGUGAUAGUUGAGAACACAAACAAUAUGAGCAACCAUCUAUAGACUAAAUCCAGCUCCCUCUAUUUCUAGGAUUCAUAAGCUAGUUAAUAGAAAGAAGUCCCCACCAAAGGUAUGCUGAACACGGGAAACUUAUCUUCAUUGAAGCUACUAUUAGUAACAUUAAUUUGGUGAAACAGCUGAAUAAUCCAUGCCUUUAUUAUAGCACAGUACCAGAAUCUAUAUUGUAUACAGAUGAAACCUAACGCAUAAAUCUAUAACAUUUAAGACCAGCACUGUUAAUCAAACAAAAGUGAACCUUAUGGUCAAACAGAAAAGGCACCCAAUUAAAGCAGACAGAAACAGCACCUGAUUAAAGCACGAAUAGAUGGGACAUAAUUUGAUAUCUUUUUUCCAAGGCCAUACUUGGAAAACUAUUUCUGUAGGAGGGGAGGGGGAGAUUUACAAAAACAAACACUCCGCCGGCAGCUUGUUGGAUACUUCUAAGGCACCAAAGUUAGCUAAGUUUAGCAUAACACAUGAUUAAUGCACAAUAACUUGUGAUUAACAGUGCAACAAAAGGGUAAACGACCACAAACUCUUGAGAAAUAUAGAAUAAGGCUUGCUGGAUCUUAGUUCGAUAGGGUUGAGAUAUAAUUUACAGUCUUAUGGUCCAAAGCCCCAUCAAAUAGGCCUGGUAUUGAUACCAUUACCAAAAAAUAUAGACAGCUGUAGAUAUGUUGUUAAACCAUAAAAAAGAAAACACAUAACAAUAUAUUCGAAAAAUAUUUCCUUUUUCACUCUAUCGUAUAUUCAAGACAGUUUCAACCCUGAGACAAACAGGUUAGGAAUCAUUCUAUCACGGUAUUUAAAAAAACACACGCAAGGAACAAGAUAUAAGAGAGAGAAGGACUGCUACCCACAUCAGCAAAAGCAGCAUCCAAGUAUGAAACAUUGAUUUCUACAGAAACGCCACUUGCUGGAGCUCCAGCUGUGCACAUUGCAGCAGUUCCUACCAAGUCGACCAACGUGGCUGUAGCCCCACCGUGCAAGAAAUUGCCAACAUUCUUAGAAAUAAGCAAUCAAACAAAACACCAAAUAAUCAGUAACACCAUUUAAGACCUAAACUAUUAAAGCAUUCUUUAGCUUAGAUUUUGGAAGAAAAUUCCCUUACUUUUUUCUGAUAUUAGCUAAUCACUUCCAAAGAGAAUCCUAAUUGAAAACAACCAACAAAAGACUUGAACUUUCUCUUGUUUUCAUGACUAAUCUCAGCAGCCAAACUAAAAGGAGAGUAAUUCACCAAGCAUGGGCAUACAGUAUUCAUCUAUGAUGGUUAUCCCAAGAUCCCAAAUGGAUCAUCUUUAAAUCCUUGAUUAUGUAUUUGAAUCAGAAAACAACAUAAAAACAGAGAGAUUUGGGGUUUGAAGUGAUUACCAGAAGACGAGGAGGGACUUUCAUGGAGCAAACAACACGCCCAGGUUCAAUGAGAUCAAUAUGAAGGCCUUGCAUUAUAAAUCUUUCAAAGAAUCUGAGAGGCAUUUUUUCAAUGGUUGAUGCAUUCUUGUCUUCUUCAUAUCCUCCUGUCUCUACGUAUCUCUUCACUGAUUCCAAAUCCAUUUUUCUUUCUUCCCUUUGUCUCAGGCAAAGGUAUGUUUGUUGAAAGAGUGAUGGGCAAAGACGCAAAGGAAUACUGCCCUUCCCGUUGACCCAUAAUAACUGGAUUAUAAGACAUGUGAGGUGAGAUGCUGAGUUUAUUUUUUUAAAAUUAUGGGUUUGAAUUUUAUAAAUUUUUAAAUUAUUAUAAAUUUAUAUAGUUAAUAAUUUUAAAAUUAUUAAAAUUAAUAUAUAUAUAUAUAUAUAUAUAAAUUACCUGAAUAUUCACAUUAAUUAAAAACUAAAAUUCUAAAACAUGAGAAAUAGGGUUAGGAAUUGUAUCAUGAUUUUUCCCUAGUUUGAGAAAAUUACCAAGAACUUCAAUUUUAAUUCUCUCAUUAAAAAAAGUUCGACUGUUUCUGUAAAAAAAUCAAUUUUAAUACCUUUUAUUGUCAAUUAAACUGCUAGCACCAAUCAUUAUCUUCCCAAUCCCACAUAAAUACUAAAGAAACAUAAUUAAUUGCUUCACCUUUUUCUAUGUGAUCAUGAAUUAUUUUUUAUUUAUUUUUUUCUAUGAAAAGAAAGAGACGGAAUAUAUGGGGGAAUAAACGAAAUCUACAGGGUAUUAUCUUAUCUUUUAUUUAAACCUUGAAAGAUCACAACAUAUUAAAAUCUCGAAUUAACUUGAAAAAUAUUAUAAAAUUGUAAGUUAAUAUAUAUUUAAGGUGUUAAAUCAGAUUAAAAACUUGAAACUAGAAAAAUUAGAUUUAAUUCAUGCAAAAUCAAUAAAAUUGAUAAACUUGGUCUGAUUUGACGAGUUUACUAAAUUUGUGAUAUGAACCAAGUUAAGUCUUAAUUUGACCUUAAAAUAUCUACUAAUUAGUUUUACGAGAUUGAAUAUAUCUUUUAAACCGUAAAUUGGAUAAAGCUUAAAUUUAAUAGAAAAAUAUUAGAUAUAUAAAAAUAUAUUAUGGUAAAUUUUCAGAUUAAAUGGAGUUAGAGAAUAUAAUAUUUCAAAUGGUCAAAGUUAGUAAACUAACAUCCUUAAAUAUAUCAAACAAGACCUUUUUGCACUGUUUGGGACAUAUCUAGAUCUACCGUUGGAAUUUUGCUUCGAUUAAAGUAGGGAUAGAAACUAGACAUUUAAAACUUUUCAACUAUAUAUUAUAGGGCCAAUAAUUCAUCCAAACGAGAGAGAAUGAUAUGUUUGAAAUCAGGACUUAAAUCUGCCAAUAAUAUGUAAAAAAUAGAGAUUUAGGCUUAUGGAGGAAUUUUAACAUGAAUACUUUUUUUAUUAUUAUUCUAUUUUAUUUAUUUAUUUAUUUUUAAAUAAUUAUUUUUAAUUUGAUUUUUUCUUAGGACAUUAGACAUUGUUUAGGGGUUUAUUUUAUUAUUGAAUUUAUGUUAGUUAAUUACUAAUUUAAACUCAUUAACUUGCAACCCGAAAAGGGUCUAUCAAGACUUAUUGUGAUGGGAACAACCAGGUUGUCACUAGAUUUAUGUGUGCUUUAUACUUUUCAGUGAUUCUUCUAUAUUGAGAAAUUGUGUUUUGAGACUUUUUAUUUCUCAAUGUCAUUACUUUAUUAAUUCAUAUUAUAUAUCUCUCUCAUUUUAUUUAAAUCACUCAUUGAUUAUAAUAUUGAUGAUUUAUUUUAUCAGAUGUUAAUGUAAAUUAAUUUCCUAGCUAGAAUUAUCAAUAUAUAAUCAGUUAAAAAACUUACUUAUGAUUUUACAAUUCGAGUUUACGAUCCAAGUUUAUAUUAUAUUUUUCAUGUCGUGUCAAAAAAAUAUUUUUGAUAACCUUGAUCACAAUUCAAUAACAACAGCUUUAAGAGAUUGAUCUAGCAGUUAAAAUGUUUUGUUCCUUUUUAGGAUAUAUAUAUAUAUAUAUAUAUAUAUAUAUAUUUUUAAUUAAAUUAUUUUAAAUAUAUCAUGCUAAUAUGAGAUAUAUAACGUCCAAGGUAAAAAAAAAACCUUAUUUUUAUGAAUAAAGUUGAGUUUUCUAGGCCUAAACAUUUUUUAAAAAUCAUUCUAAUAUGAAUAUUCCUUUUAACUUCUUGGGUUUUUCCCCUUUUUUUUUUUUUUUUUUUUGUAUUUUUAGGAUUCCAAAAUUAGAUUGUUUGGCAUAAAUGUUUUUUAAUUAAUGGAAAAUACCAAAUACAUGGCAAUGGAAAAGUAAAAAUUAUAUUAUUGAUGACCCAAUUAACAAUAAAUAAAUAGACUCAACUAGGUGAGUUUGUUCAUGGUGAUUUUUUUUAUUGUAAUUAAUUUUAUAUAAUGUAAGCAAAUUUCAAUUAAUUUGUUUUUAUUUCUUUCCUGUUAAUCAUAUACCUUUUCUUUUAUCAAGUUAAUAAUUUAUUUUUUCUUUUUAAAAUCUUUGUGUAGCCAUAUGUGCUUUUAACAUAGUUUGUUAACUAUUCUUGAGGGUCUUAAAUAUUCUUUAGCUUCAAAUGCAAGGCUGAAAUUGAGACUGCAAAGUAGUAUGGGGGACCAAUUUGGAUAUAAAAGGUUCUUUUUUAAAACCGGCUUGAUUCCAGCCCUGGAACCGCCGAAAUUCAGGUCAACCCGUCGAAUCAGACCGGGUUUCAAAACUAUAAAAAAACAUAUCCUCUUUAUCUUAGUUAUCUCUGUUUGUUUUUUUUUAAUCAAAACAGUAACCAAAAUGCUACAAGAUAUGCUUUGGUGAUGUAUUUACAAGUUGGUGCCCAGAUUUCAGAGAAAUGAAGGGAUUUUUAACAAAAUAAAAUUCCCCGCAAUUACAUCUUUCUUUUCCCUCUUUAUAAUUAAGUAGUUUACUUUGCCAGCCUUAGGAGUGAAGGCCCUCUCAAAUCACCUUCAUGCUGCAGCAAGAACAUUCAAAUUGCUACAAAGGGAACCAUUUCUC